rnacentral:rRNA from 1 species
UACGGGAGGCAGCAGUGGGGAAUAUUGCACAAUGGGGGAAACCCUGAUGCAGCAACGCCGCGUGAAGGAAGAAGUAUUUCGGUAUGUAAACUUCUAUCGACAGGGAAGAAACAAAUGACGGUACCUGAAUGAGAAGCACCGGCUAAAUACGUGCCAGCAGCCGCGGUAAUACGUAUGGUGCAAGCGUUAUCCGGAUUUACUGGGUGUAAAGGGUGAGUAGGCGGUCAUGCAAGUCAUAUGUGAAAUGUCAGGGCUUAACCUUGGCGCUGCAUAAGAAACUGUAUGACUAGAGUGCAGGAGAGGUAAGCGGAAUUCCUAGUGUAGCGGUGAAAUGCGUAGAUAUUAGGAAGAACACCGGUGGCGAAGGCGGCUUACUGGACUGUUACUGACGCUGAGUCACGAAAGCGUGGGGAGCAAACAGGAUUAGAUACCCUGGUAGUCCACGCCGUAAACGAUGAGUGCUAGGUGUUGGCCAGAGAUGG